rnacentral:lncRNA from 1 species
AAGUUAUAGAGGUCCAAAGGAGGUACCUCGAACUGUUCUUCACGAAGAACAUCUCUGACAGCUACUUUGAUGACUAAUUUAUCCCAGAUCUGAUGUUGUUUAAACGUUAUGAUUGUUGUUAAUUGUAGUCUGAUAUUUUCUCUACAAGACCCAAUUUAUAGAUUGUCCAAAUUCAUUAAGAGGAAAAAGUUAUUCACGGUCAAACAUGCUCACUCGCUAACUGCCUUUUGAAUUCUGGGCUUGGUGAAGAACACCUAUAGCGACGCUUCUGUCACUAUAGGGGCCUUUAGCGACGGUUAUUAUUAUUAUUUUCCGGAAAUUGAUUUAAAAAUUAGAAAAAUUAGAUUUUAAU